AAUCGAGUGGCGAACGGGUGAGUAACGCGUGAGGAACCUGCCUCAAAGAGGGGGACAACAGUUGGAAACGACUGCUAAUACCGCAUAAGCCCACGGCUCGGCAUCGGGCAGAGGGAAAAGGAGCAAUCCGCUUUGAGAUGGCCUCGCGUCCGAUUAGCUAGUUGGUGAGGUAAUGGCCCACCAAGGCGACGAUCGGUAGCCGGACUGAGAGGUUGAACGGCCACAUUGGGACUGAGACACGGCCCAGACUCCUACGGGAGGCAGCAGUGGGGAAUAUUGCACAAUGGGGGAAACCCUGAUGCAGCGACGCCGCGUGGAGGAAGAAGGUCUUCGGAUUGUAAACUCCUGUUGUUGAGGAAGAUAAUGACGGUACUCAACAAGGAAGUGACGGCUAACUACGUGCCAGCAGCCGCGGUAAAACGUAGGUCACAAGCGUUGUCCGGAAUUACUGGGUGUAAAGGGAGCGCAGGCGGGAGAACAAGUUGGAAGUGAAAUCCAUGGGCUCAACCCAUGAACUGCUUUCAAAACUGUUUUUCUUGAGUAGUGCAGAGGUAGGCGGAAUUCCCGGUGUAGCGGUGGAAUGCGUAGAUAUCGGGAGGAACACCAGUGGCGAAGGCGGCCUACUGGGCACCAACUGACGCUGAGGCUCGAAAGUGUGGGUAGCAAACAGGAUUAGAUACCCUGGUAGUCCACACCGUAAACGAUGAUUACUAGGUGUUGGAGGAUUGACCCCUUCAGUGCCGCAGUUAACACAAUAAGUAAUCCACCUGGGGAGUACGACCGCAAGGUUGAAACUCAAAGGAAUUGACGGGGGCCCGCACAAGCAGUGGAGUAUGUGGUUUAAUUCGACGCA
rnacentral:rRNA from 1 species